CAUGUCAGGGCUCUUAUCACAGCUGCAGCAAUCCACAAAUCACAUUUCUGCAGUCCUCGGCUUACGUCGGAAUCUACGUAUGUUGUCGUUUUCGUGGUUACAUCGCUAUCUCCCAUUGAUUUAUAAAAAGAAAAGUUCUGUCAUUUCAAUGUAUGUACAUAUGUGCUUUAUGUUUUUUAUUAUUCAUUUACCAUAAAUAAAGAUCAGGAAUUGG